rnacentral:rRNA from 1 species
UGGGGGAUUUUGCACAAUGGGCGCAAGCCUGAUGCAGCGACGCCGCGUGAGGGAUGAAGGCCUUCGGGUUGUAAACCUCUUUCGCGGGGUUGAAAGGCCAUGCUUUGGGUGUGGUUGAUUUGAACUGGUAAAGAAGUACCGGCUAACUACGUGCCAGCAGCCGCGGUAAUACGUAGGGUACUAGCGUUGUCCGGAUUUAUUGGGCGUAAAGGGCUUGUAGGUGGUUUGUCGCGUCUGUCGUGAAAUCCUGUGGCUUGACCAUGGGCUUGCGGUGGGUACGGGCAGUCUUGAGUGCGGUAGGGGAGACUGGAAUUCCUGGUGUAGCGGUGGAAUGCGCAGAUAUCAGGAGGAACACCGGUGGCGAAGGCGGGUCUCUGGGCCGUUACUGACACUGAGGAGCGAAAGCGUGGGGAGCGAACAGG